GAUGAAGAACGCAGCGAAAUGCGAUACGUAAUGUGAAUUGCAAAUUCAGUGAAUCAUCGAGUCUUUGAACGCACAUUGUGCCCCCUGGUAUUCCGGGGGGCAUGCCUGUCCGAGCGUCAUUGCUGCCCUCAAGCACGGCUUGUGUGUUGGGCCCCGUCCUCCGAUUCCGGGGGACGGGCCCGAAAGGCAGCGGCGGCACCGCGUCCGGUCCUCGAGCGUAUGGGGCUUUGUCACCCGCUCUGUAGGCCCGGCCGGCGCUUGCCGAUCAACCCAAAUUUUUAUCCAGGUUGACCUCGGAUCAGGUAGGGAUACCCGCUGAACUUAAGCAUAUCAAUAAGCGGAGGA
rnacentral:misc_RNA from 1 species